ACAAUCACGUGUCACUUACAACUGACAAUUUCAUUUCAUUCAAUCCUCACUCAUCUAAACUCUAAUCGAUCUAUUUAUAGUCUUGCCUCCUCUCAUACUUCUACACCUCACCUUCUUUCUAAUUAGGGUUUCAAAAUCUAACCUCUUUUUCUUGCCGCCGCACCCUUUUCCAUUUGUAGCAAACUACUUUCACCUUCAUUCUUCAGAUCCAAUGUAGCCAAUCGUUGACCUAACCUCUGUUUUGCAGCUCAAUUACGAGUGUGCAGUGGUUGAAGAUCUGAAGAUGACGUGUGUGUUGUCUAUGAUUUGUUUGACCGAAUUCUUCAUAUUUGUUACGGCUGUGAUUUCUUUGAUUAAAUAUCAUACAAAGUCUAUGUCUUAACGGUGACAUCGAUUAAUAUAAUUCUUAAUUGAGUUAAAUCGGUGACAUCUGUAUAUAGGCCGAACUUACAAAGUCUAUGUCUUAACGGUGACAUCGAUUAAUAUAAUUCUUAAUUGAGUUAAAUCGGUGACAUCUGUAUAUAGACCGAACUUACAAAGUCUAUGUCUUAACAAUAGAGAAAAAGUGAUAUCUGAAUCACGUUCAACAAAAGUUAAUAGAAUGCAAGAACAAAAAAAGCAAAAAAAGUUAUGUAUCCAAUAUAAUUUGUAAUUUUUUUUUUUGAAUAAUGUUAUUUUUCAUAUUGCAGUUUUAAUGAGUUUCUGAAUUAGCAACUCGUAUCAA